AGGUUAUGAUGUGGACACUUGCGCAAUAAAUUAUUGUAUCUCUCCCAUGUCUCAUAUCAUGAUUCACCCCCAAAUUAGGUGAAUGUAGUGAUAUCAUUCCUUAACUU